rnacentral:rRNA from 1 species
AUUGAACGCUGGCGGCAGGCCUAACACAUGCAAGUCGAGCGAGCGGCGGAGGGGUGAGUAUAGUCUGGGGAACUGCCUGAUGGAGGGGGAUAACUACUGGAAACGGUAGCUAAUACCGCAUAUCAUCCGAAAUGCCCAGAUGGGGUUAGCUAGUAGGUGGGGGAACGGCUAACCUCUGCGACGAUCCCUUGCUGGUCUGAGAGGAUGAGCAGCCACACUGUAACUGAGACACGGUCCAGACUCCUACGGGAGGCAGCAGUUGGGAAUGUUGCAUAAUGGGCGCAAGCCUGAUGCAGCCAUGCCGCGUGUGUGAAGAAGGCCUUCGGGUUGUAAAGCACUUUCAGCGGGGAGGCGUUACCCGCAGGAGAAGCACCGGCUAACUCCGUGCCAGCAGCCGCGGUAAUUC